GUCGAGGUAGCCUAGCCAGGUAGGGCGCAGGUUUGCUAAACCUGUUCCCCUUCGGGGAUCGAGGGUUCGAAUCCCUCCCUCGGCG
rnacentral:tRNA from 3 species